AUGGCCCGUAAAUUAGCACAAAAGAAUCGAUCUAUCACCGGCACCAAUCGAGGAAGAAAGAAGGAAACGGAUAGAGGAACCUGGAAGACCGGGGGCUUGAAGGGGAGGGUGCAGAGGGGGCAGUGGAGCACUUGCUUGUCGAUCCUCACGGCGAGUUCCACUCGCUGGAUGUACGCCGCCCCAAUGAUGGAGCCUCCAUCUCCUCCACCGGCCGCCUCUUGCUUCAUGUGGCCGUCGGGCAGAUCCAGCCGGGCCUUCUUGGAGCUCUCGUCGGCCUUGUCAGGCGAAGCCCUGCUCCUCCUCUCGGCGGCCGCGGCAGCGCCUUGCAUCUUGGCUGGCCUUUGGGGAAAGAAAACUCCUGUGUCUGUUUCUCACGCCAAACUUUUUCAUGAGGUGGGUGAGGAGUAG
rnacentral:rRNA from 1 species